rnacentral:rRNA from 1 species
GACGAACGCUGGCGGCGUGCCUAAUACAUGCAAGUCGAACGAAGCUGUUUUAACUGGUGCUUGCACCGACUUAAACAACUGAGUGGCGAACGGGUGAGUAACACGUGGGUAACCUGCCCCAAAGCGGGGGAUAACAUUUGGAAACAGAUGCUAAUACCGCAUAACCACAGAAACCACAUGGUUUCUGUGUCAAAGAUGGUUUCGGCUAUCACUUUGGGAUGGACCCGCGGCGUAUUAGCUAGUUGGUAAGGUAAUGGCUUACCAAGGCAAUGAUACGUAGCCGAAACGAGAGGUUGAUCGGCCACAUUGGGACUGAGACACGGCCCAAACUCCUACGGGAGGCAGCAGUAGGGAAUCUUCCGCAAUGGACGAAAGUCUGAUGGAGCAACGCCGCGUGAGUGAAGAAGGUUUUCGGAUCGUAAAACUCUGUUGUCAGAGAAGAACGUGUGCGAGAGUAACUGUUCGUGCAGUGACGGUAUCUGGCCAGAAAGCCACGGCUAACUCCGUGCCAGCCGCCGCUGUAA